rnacentral:rRNA from 1 species
GACGAACGCUGGCGGCGUGCUUAACACAUGCAAGUCGAGCGGUAAGGCCCUUUCGGGGAUACACGAGCGGCGAACGGGUGAGUAACACGUGGGUGACCUGCCCUCAGCUCUGGGAUAAGCCUGGGAAACCGGGUCUAAUACCGGAUAUGACUCCAUGACGCAUGUUGUGGGGUGGAAAGCCUUGUGCGGCUGAGGAUGGGCCCGCGGCCUAUCAGCUUGUUGGUGGGGNGAUGGCCUACCAAGGCGACGACGGGUAGCCGGCCUGAGAGGGCGACCGGCCACACUGGGACUGAGACACGGCCCAGGACUCCUACGGGAGGCAGCAGUGGGGAAUCUUGCGCAAUGGGCGAAAGCCUGACGCAGCGACGCCGCGUGAGGGAUGACGGCCUGGU